CAGCCGCCACGGUAAUACGUAGGAGGCAAGCGUUGUCCGGAAUUAUUGGGCGCAAAGGGCUCGCAGGCGGUUUCUUAAGUCUGAUGUGAAAGCCCCCGGCUCAACCGGGGAGGGUCAUUGGAAACUGGGAAACUUGAGUGCAGAAGAGGAGAGUGGAAUUCCACGUGUAGCGGUGAAAUGCGUAGAGAUGUGGAGGAACACCAGUGGCGAAGGCGACUCUCUGGUCUGUAACUGACGCUGAGGAGCGAAAGCGUGGGGAGCGAACAGGAUUAGAUACCCCGGUAGUCCCUGUCUCUUAUAA
rnacentral:rRNA from 1 species